rnacentral:rRNA from 1 species
CCUGACUGCUAUCGGAUUGAUACUAAGCCAUGCGAGUCAUUGUAGUAAUACAAGGCAGACGGCUCAGUAACGCGUAGUCAACCUAACCUAUGGACGGGAAUAACCUCGGGAAACUGAGAAUAAUGCCCGAUAGAACAUUAUGCCUGGAAUGGUUUAUGUUCCAAACGAUUUAUCGCCAUAGGAUGGGACUGCGGCCUAUCAGUUUGUUGGUGAGGUAAUGGCCCACCAAGACUAUUACAGGUACGGGCUCUGAGAGGAGUAGCCCGGAGAUGGGUACUGAGACACGGACCCAGGCCCUAUGGGGCGCAGCAGGCGAGAAAACUUUGCAAUGUGCGAAAGCACGACAAGGUUAAUCCGAGUGGUUUCUGCUAAAGGAACCUUUUGUCAGUCCUAAAAACACUAACGAAUAAGGGGUGGGCAAGUUCUGGUGUCAGCCGCCGCGGUAAAACCAGCACCUCAAGUGGUCAGGAUGAUUAUUGGGCCUAAAGCAUCCGUAGCCGGCUCUGUAAGUUUUCGGUUAAAUCUGUACGCUCAACGUACAGGCUGCCGGAAAUACUGCACAGCUAGGGAGUGGGAGAGGUAGACGGUACUCGGUAGGAAGGGGUAAAAUCCUUUGAUCUAUUGAUGACCACCUGUGGCGAAGGCGGUCUACCAGAACACGUCCGACGGUGAGGGAUGAAAGCUGGGGGAGCAAACCGGAUUAGAUACCCGGGUAGUCCCAGCUGUAACUAUGCAAACUCAGUGAUGCAUUGGCUUAUGGCCAAUGCAGUGCUGCAGGGAAGCCGUUAAGUUUGCCGCCUGGGAAGUACGUACGCAAGUAUGAAACUUAAAGGAAUUGGCGGGGAGCACACAAGGGGUGAAGCCUGCGGUUC